UACGGAGGGUGCAAACGUUGCUCGGAAUCAUUGGGCGUAAAGCGCACGUAGGCGGUUCGUUAAGUUGGAUGUGAAAGCCCUCGGCUUAACCGAGGAAGUGCAUCCAAAACUGGCGAGCUUGAGUAUGGAAGAGGGUCUCGGAAUUUCCGGUGGAGCGGUGAAAUGCAUUGAGAUCGGAAAGAACACCAACGGCGAAAGCACUCUGCUGGGCCGACACUGACACUGAGAGACGAAAGCUAGGGGAGCAAAUGGG
rnacentral:rRNA from 1 species